CCAAAAAGAUAAAGAGGAACACUCUUGACUUUUUCUUUCUCUCCUAUUUGUUCUUUUCUAUCCGCUUCCCUCUUUAAUUUCCACUCACAGGGUGUUAAAACAACUUGACCAAACUAAAAUGGUCAACACAAUGUACAAUAAUUAUUUCAUAACGUACAACAUAAAUAAACAAUUUCUUUGAAUAUUAGAAUUAUCGCUCUGGAAACAAGUAUUUACCGGAGUAUAAAUUCAGAACCAUUCGGUUUUAAGUCAUCGUGUUCGUUCAUCUGAGAAUCGGGUUCUAUUGCUUAUGCAUUUCAUGGCUUCUUCAGCUGUAGAUAACGCCAUUAACAAACCAGCCAAUGUUCAAAUCAAUAACCUCUCCACAUCUCCAAAUCUCAAAAAAAAACCUUUCAAUUUUCUCUCAAGGCCAGGUGUGUACACAAUUCUGUUUCAAUUCUCUCCCUGGACCAGGUGUGUUCACAGUUCUGUUUGUUGACGUGCUUUUACGCUAUCAUUUCAUUUCAUGGAUUUGUUUUUGCAUUAUCAAUAGAGCUUGCAACUAUGCUGCUGUGUGGUUUUCCUAAUUACUUCGAAAGAAAAUUAGGAUUUGUGCAUUUCCUAUUGUUAGAUCAUUCGUUGAGGCUCUAAUUAGAUCCAUUACAGUUGCACUGAAUUUAUCAAAUUUUGUAAGGAAAUUUGACCCGAGUUCACGAUGUUUUCUAUUUCUGAAUAGUUCUUAAAUUGUUAUAGACUUAUAGUACUUUACCAAACUUCAAUCCAGAUCAAAAACCCUUCUUAUUCCAAAAUGAAGGUGUAUUUAUAAUAGCGAUUGCCAAAAAUUUGUUAAACCACUUGACUAAAAAUUGUCAUAUUUGACUCCAACCCAUUUUGACUGUUGCUUCGAGACUAAAUUACAAAAUUGGUCCCUUUGGUUUACAGCUUUUUUGGUUUAGGUCCAAAAAGUAUUUUCUUUUUCAGUUUUGCUCCCUCUUGCAGGGUUUCAUCAUGUUUUUGGACUCUGUCCCAUGUAAAUUGACUCUACCUAGCUUCUUUCUUUAUGGAAUCAUCUCUACAUUUUGGAUUUAUAGAUACAAGGAUUCAAAAAAAAUGCAUUCAAAUUGUCUACCAGGUUAGAAUGUAUGAUGCAAAGUUAUCCUAAAACAACUUGACUCCAUUAGCUAGGUUGGAUUUACAGUGCCAGAUUCAUGGUUUGUAAAAAACAAUCCAGAUGAUGAUGCAAAGGUAUUUGCUUCAAUGAUCCUUAACUAGAAAAGUUUUUAAAUAACAAAAUAUCUUAAAGAGGAUUUGGAAGAGGUGGAGAAACAACAAUCUUUCGAUCUAAUAGCAUGAUUCUAAGAAAGGUCAGCUAAACUAAUUUAAUACUAGUAUUCUUUAUGAUUUUAAGAGAAAUUUCCAUUUAUGGUGCUUGCUUAUAGCUGAUUUACAGAUUUUAGUACCAGAAAGUUUUCUCCUUCAAUAUCUAUCCACAUUUGAGGUUUUUGUAAUGUUUUUGGUCCUGUUCCAAGUAAAAUGACUAUACUUUUGGGAUCAAUAUUGCAAAAACCUGCUAUAAUCAGGGACCAAAAUGGUCAUUUAACUAGGAAUGGUGACCAAAAAUGUUAUAAAAACCUCAAAUAAGGACCAAAAUUGCAACAAAAAUGCAAAAAUUGACUACACUAAGAUACCAAAUAUGUGACUUACUCUUAUUUUAAUAAUCUUAGAGUUAAUUGCUUUUUUGUUCCUGAGUAUAGCAAAUUUUUGUAAAUUUGGUCCCAAAAAGUAUUUUCUUGCAAUUUUGGUCCUCAUUUGAGGUUUUUGUAAUGCUUUUGGUCCCGUUCCAAGUAAGAUGACUAUAUUUUCGGAUCAAAUUGCAAAAAUUGUCUACAAUUAGGGACCAAAAUAGUCAUUUCAUUUUAGUAUGAUUAGGAACCAAAAACAUUACAAAAGCCUCAAAUAAGGACCAAAAUUGCAACAUGAAUUUUCUGGGAAUAAAGAUGCAAAAAUCGACUACACCCAGAGACCAAAAAUGUAACUUACUCUUAUGUUAAUAAUCUUAGAGUAAAUUAUGUUUUUGGUCUUUGAGUAUAGCUGUUUUUUUUUCAAAUUUGGUCCCAUAGAGUAUUUUCUUGCAAUUUUGGUCCUUAUUGGAGGUUUUUGUAAUGUUUUUGGUGUUUGUUCCAAGUAAAAUGACUUUUUUUUUUCUCCCUAAAACAGAGUUGAUAAGAAUACUUAUUAAGACAAUAACAGGAAAAAUGGAGGAUAAGAAGAGAGGAUGAAGUUCCAAAUUGAAAAACCAUGAAACUUCCAAGAAGUUCUUCCUGUCAAAGCCACUAAAUAACAUUCCUCCCAUAAAAUAUACGCAUUUUACUUAUCAUAGGGACCAACAACGUUACAAAAAUCUCAAACAAGGACCAAAAUUGCAAAAAUUGAAAAAUAAGCUACAAUCAGGGACCAAAAUGUAAAUUACUCAUAAUCUUAUGUUUCAUUUCUUUGGGCAGGUGUUAAUAUAGAUGAUCUAGUUUCAGAGGUGUUUAAGGUUUGGUCAUGUGUUGUAUUUGUAUGGAAAAUAUGGGAUGUUACAUUCCCUGAUGUUAAAAGAAAAGUAAAUUGAAACAACUUUGUUUCUGAACAUUUGUCACUCGAUUCAGUUGAUGAUGCAUGAUAAAGGCAAUAGUGCAUUUCCUGAAGAAAUGACUAUACCUUUAUUUAAUUAUACUUUUAUUAAAAUUCAAAAAUAUUUAAAUAUAUAACUAAUUAAUAAUUAAA